rnacentral:rRNA from 1 species
GACGAACGCUGGCGGCGUGCCUAAUACAUGCAAGUCGAACGCACAGUUUAUACCGUAGCUUGCUACACCAUAGACUGUGAGUUGCGAACGGGUGAGUAACGCGUAGGUAACCUGCCUGGUAGCGGGGGAUAACUAUUGGAAACGAUAGCUAAUACCGCAUAAUAUUAAUUAUUGCAUGAUAAUUAAUUGAAAGGUGCAAUUGCACCACUACCAGAUGGACCUGCGUUGUAUUAGCUAGUAGGUGAGGUAACGGCUCACCUAGGCGACGAUACAUAGCCGACCUGAGAGGGUGAUCGGCCACAAUGGGACUGAGACACGGCCCAGACUCCUACGGGAGGCAGCAGUAGGGAAUCUUCGGCAAUGGACGAAAGUCUGACCGAGCAACGCCGCGUGAGUGAAGAAGGGUUUCGGAUCGUAAAGCUCUGUUGUAAGAGAAGAACGGGUGUGAGAGUGGAAAGUUCACACUGUGACGGUAUCUUACCAGAAAGGGACGGCUAACUACGUG